rnacentral:misc_RNA from 1 species
CCGCGGCUGAUCGUGAAGUGAAGAAGAGAGGAAAAGCUCAAAUGGCGAUGGCGUAGGAGAAGAGGAAUUGGUGUGCGUGAAAAGUCAGGGGAAGACUUUCCAUAUGGAAUUAGUGUGUGACGUUGAAAUCCAUGGAAAAAUUACGCUUUUUUUGACUAUGUAAAAGUAUUUAACGAAUGAAAUGUGAGAAGAAGACUAAUAGAUUCAUCUACAUAUACAAAAAUCUUCAAUAAACCCUUAAUUUUGAUUGUUGAUUCUUACUCUCUGAAGAAUAAUUUUGAUUGUUGAUUCUUACUCUCUGAAGAA